rnacentral:rRNA from 1 species
ACGGAGGGUGCGAGCGUUGUCCGGAUUUAUUGGGUUUAAAGGGUGCGUAGGUGGCUUGUUAAGUCAGUGGUGAAAUACAGCCGCUCAACGGUUGAGGUGCCAUUGAUACUGACAAGCUUGAAACAAGUGGAGGCUGCCGGAAUGGAUGGUGUAGCGGUGAAAUGCAUAGAUAUCAUCCAGAACACCGAUUGCGAAGGCAGGUGGCUACGUUUGAUUUGACACUGAGGCACGAAAGCAUGGGGAGCAAACAGGAUUAGAUACCCUGGUAGUCCAUGCCGUAAACGAUGAGGACUCGCUGUUGGGCUGUCAAGGUUCAGCGGCUUAGGGAAACCGUUAAGUCCUCCACCUGGGGAGUACGCCGGCAACGGUG